rnacentral:rRNA from 1 species
UGCUAAUACAUGCAAGUCGAGCGGACCGACGGGAGCUUGCUCCCUUAGGUCAGCGGCGGACGGGUGAGUAACACGUGGGUAACCUGCCUGUAAGACUGGGAUAACUCCGGGAAACCGGGGCUAAUACCGGAUGCUUGAUUGAACCGCAUGGUUCAAUCAUAAAAGGUGGCUUUUAGCUACCACUUGCAGAUGGACCCGCGGCGCAUUAGCUAGUUGGUGAGGUAACGGCUCACCAAGGCGACGAUGCGUAGCCGACCUGAGAGGGUGAUCGGCCACACUGGGACUGAGACACGGCCCAGACUCCUACGGGAGGCAGCAGUAGGGAAUCUUCCGCAAUGGACGAAAGUCUGACGGAGCAACGCCGCGUGAGUGAUGAAGGUUUUCGGAUCGUAAAACUCUGUUGUUAGGGAAGAACAAGUACCGUUCGAAUAGGGCGGCACCUUGACGGUACCUAACCAGAAAGCCACGGCUAACUACGUGCCAGCAGCCGCGGUAAUACGUAGGUGGCAAGCGUUGUCCGGAAUUAUUGGGCGUAAAGCGCGCGCAGGCGGUUUCUUAAGUCUGAUGUGAAAGCCCCCGGCUCAACCGGGGAGGGUCAUUGGAAACUGGGGAACUUGAGUGCAGAAGAGGAGAGUGGAAUUCCACGUGUAGCGGUGAAAUGCGUAGAGAUGUGGAGGAACACCAGUGGCGAAGGCGACUCUCUGGUCUGUAACUGACGCUGAGGCGCGAAAGCGUGGGGAGCGAACAGGAUUAGAUACCCUGGUAGUCCACGCCGUAAACGAUGAGUGCUAAGUGUUAGA